rnacentral:rRNA from 1 species
GAUGAACGCUGGCGGCGUGCCUAAUACAUGCAAGUCGAGCGAACAGACGAGGAGCUUGCUCCUCUGACGUUAGCGGCGGACGGGUGAGUAACACGUGGAUAACCUACCUAUAAGACUGGGAUAACUUCGGGAAACCGGAGCUAAUACCGGAUAAUAUAUUGAACCGCAUGGUUCAAUAGUGAAAGACGGUUUUGCUGUCACUUAUAGAUGGAUCCGAGCCGCAUUAGCUAGUUGGUAAGGUAACGGCUUACCAAGGCAACGAUGCGUAGCCGACCUGAGAGGGUGAUCGGCCACACUGGAACUGAGACACGGUCCAGACUCCUACGGGAGGCAGCAGUAGGGAAUCUUCCGCAAUGGGCGAAAGCCUUACGGAGCAACGCCGCGUGAGUGAUGAAGGUCUUCGGAUCGUAAAACUCUGUUAUUAGGGAAGAACAAAUGUGUAAGUAACUAUGCACGUCUUGACGGUACCUAAUCAGAAAGCCACGGCUAACUACGUG